GGGUGAGUAUGAAACCCGAUUAUGACGCACGCGUUGCCGUCGCAGCAACAGGCCAUGAUGUAAUGUCCCGUUCGCAGCCGAGACCCUUGUGCAUUCUGGGAGGCCAACCGGCCAACCAUUCGCUCUUCUGGUACGAUUCCCUGGGAACUAAAAGGUGAAGGAUACCUCUACGUAAGGUUCACAAUUAAUAAUCAGAAAGUUAAAGUAUGCAAACUGAACAAUGUAAGAGCUAGAGAUGUAACCAGAGAUGAGCAAGCAACCUUCAGACGUCGCCCGGACAUGACGCCGACCGUGGAUUGAUUCCAGCACAUGGACGAACCGUAACUAUGUUGGCAGCUGCUUAUGGUCUGCGGCUGCAAUCUCAUACGAACUUGUCCAUUUCCAUGCAAACAAAGCCGAGAUAACAUGAGACAGCGCAUAAUCCAAGCAACCGAGUAAACAGAUGUGAAACGCUAAACGGCCCCGUUCCAUGAUAAUUCCAUUUUGUACAACCUGGAGUCUACAAAAGAUAAUUAGUCUACCUAGAUGGGGGUGAACCUACGCGGAUAAGCUAACUUGCAAAGUCCCUAUGUAGGUGGUUAGUUGUGUUCCAUGGCACCUUGGCACACAAAAAAGGACCCCGUUUGCCUUCAGGACAUGAAAGAGUUGCAGUGAGAACUGAGAAUUGGGGAGCUUCACUGG
rnacentral:sRNA from 1 species